rnacentral:rRNA from 1 species
UGGGGAAUUUUGGACAAUGGGCGAAAGCCUGAUCCAGCAAUGCCGCGUGAGUGAAGAAGGCCUUCGGGUUGUAAAGCUCUUUUGGUUGGGAAGAAAUCCUAAAGGCUAAUAUCCUUUGGGGAUGACGGUACCAAAAGAAUAAGCACCGGCUAACUACGUGCCAGCAGCCGCGGUAAUACGUAGGGUGCAAGCGUUAAUCGGAAUUACUGGGCGUAAAGCGUGCGCAGGCGGUUUUGUAAGACAGGUGUGAAAUCCUGGAGCUCAACUCCAGAACUGCCUUUGAUACUGGGAGUCUCGAGUUCGGGAGAGGUGAGUGGAACUGCGAGUGUAGAGGUGAAAUUCGUAGAUAUUCGCAAGAACACCAGUGGCGAAGGCGGCUCACUAGACAGUUUCUGACGCUAAGAUACGAAAGCUAGGGUAGCAAACA